ACACCUGUCAUCAUUGAAACUUCACAACUUUAUUUGGAAUCAUCUUCACUUUUGAAAAUACAGAUGAGCCAGUUGUCUGAUUACUGAUGAUCCUGGAGUUCCAUAUCACCCAACCCGCCUUAGACUGUAGUAUUACAGAGUGUCCGAUACCAUGAUUCCCUAUGUGUGGGCUCUAGCGGGGAAGUUCCUGUGCCAGUCCUAUUAACAGCCAGGGUCAUAUAAAGACGUGCCAGGUUUUGGAGUUGGAGGAAAGCUUUUUUAAGAGUACCCAGAUAAAAACCACUGGUCUACGGUCAGUACCAGGCAACUGCCCUGUGUGGGUUUUGAACUCGUAACCAAGAGGUGGAGGGCUUAGUGAUAAUUUGUCAGGACAACUUAACCACUCGGCCACCAAAGGUAUAGGAGGUAUUUAUCAGCAGGUUCAAUGAAAUUAAUUUUUUUAGAUACACUGACUCAUGUGAUGUGAUGAGUGCAGUGUCGUGUGCCAUGGAGGUUGUUUUGAUAAUAUCCGAAACAGACCUGAUUUCCGGGAGGUAAUGACUGUUAUUAAGUAUUACAUCAGAACGAGAACGAGGCGCGGCCGUAGCCAGUCCACUUUCAUCGGGCUCCUACAAAAACGUUAUUUUCCCUUAUCUAUAAGGGAUUUUGAAUCUUAAUUUUUUUAUAUGGAUUAGUUUGCUACCUCAACAUUCAGA